CCGCUCAGAACGAACGCUGGCGGCAGGCCUAACACAUGCAAGUCGUACGAGAAGGUUCCUUCGGGAACUGGAGAGUGGCGCACGGGUGAGUAACGCGUGGGGACCUACCUUUUAGUGGGGGAUAACGGUUGGAAACGACCGCUAAUACCGCAUACGCCCUUCGGGGGAAAGAUUUAUCGCUAAGAGAUGGACCCGCGUUGGAUUAGAUAGUUGGUGAGGUAACGGCUCACCAAGUCUUCGAUCCAUAGCUGGUUUGAGAGGAUGAUCAGCCACACUGGGACUGAGACACGGCCCAGACUCCUACGGGAGGCAGCAGUGGGGAAUAUUGGACAAUGGGCGCAAGCCUGAUCCAGCCAUGCCGCGUG
rnacentral:rRNA from 1 species